CAGGGCCCGGAGGCCUGCUGCUCCUCCUCCUCCUCCUCCUCCUCCUCCCCGCCAGGCUGAGGCGGCGAAGGGGUGGUGGCGGCGGUGGCGGCGGCAGCCCGGGGGGAGGGGGCGGAGCGCGCGGCCCGCUCCCUCUCUCCUCCCCCGGGAGGCGGAGGAGACCCUAUCUCGGGCCGCCGCGCCUAGGCCCGUGGACAGCCUGCGGCAGGGGCAUGGCGGCCCCGAGCAGCGGCGUGCCUGCGAGAGAUGAGGAAAGUCAGGAAGAUGCGAAUGAGGCCCAGAAAGUUUUGUGCUGAGAUUUGAAGAAGGAGAAGAAAAAGAAGGCGGAAUGCUUACCCUGGGAGGGGAACGGCAGCGACAGAGCAAGUCUCAGGAAGGGCCUGGUGUGUGUGAGAGCAGGUGCACAAGUCAUCACCGGAAAACCUUUGGGAUACAGUAUACGAAGUGAGGAGCUGCCAGUGCUGGAAGGACGGGUCCCAGAAGUCUCUGUUGUAGGGUAUGCCUAAGGCAUGGUGGAAUGAAGUCAGCGCAAACUACGAGGGCUCCCAAUGCAAGAAUUUCGACAAGACUGCAGUUGGACCAUGAAGCUGAUGCAGAUGAGACAGGUGGUGCCCCCAGGGCCCUUCAUGUUGCUUUCAGAAUCCGUGUGGUUUGUUCAAAAUCCCACCUACUGCUUUUGCCAAGACCAGCUUUCCACACUCUGAGAAUGGAUUUCUCUUUGUGGUCUGUUAGGCCACUGUGUGGUUUCCCCUACUGGAUUCUUUUUUGUGGUUGCAGGUCAAACCCUUUCUUGCCUGCUGCUUCCAGGAAUGUGUGGUGUGUGUCCCAGCGUGCUAUACCAGAGGGUUUUAUUUCACCUCCCUUGAAUGGAAUGGCAGUCAUCCAGCAGGCCUGGGUGCACAUAUAAAUAGACGGACACGUAAGCCUGCAUUUCAUAUCCAGAACAUAAACCAGCCACCACUGCGCGCUACACCGUCAUGUUUUGAUGAAAGACUGCUGACAGCGCCACAGACCAUGCCAUGGGGCCCAGCAAACCACCUAAUCCCAACUGCUUUAUCCCAGGCAUCGAAGGGGCAGAUUUCACUGCCAGGAACAAUUUCUUUCCAGCCACCAGCAGCUCUCAGUUUCUUUGGCUUUUCCUGCUUCAGCUGCCCAUUACUGGUGACCCUCAGUCAGAGAGGCCAGGGUGAACACGGAAGACUAAAAUGUACAGCUAAUCCCCCCAUUUUUUUUUUUCCAGGCAGAAAAUUUAGACCCACUUGCCUGUGAAGCCCUUUGACUCUGGAGCUCAUGUCAAAAGGGCCCAUUGAAAGCUUAGCAUUUCCAUAUCUCCUGCCUAAAUUUCUCCAGCGUACAACAGGGGAGUGUCCCGUCCUAGACUCUAUAGGAUUAAGUAUGAAUUCCUGCCAUUCAGAUUCUUUACAAUAUGGUCCCAAACUACCUUUCCCAUUGUAUAACGACUAUGUCCUUACUUUAGCCUCUGUUUGAAUCUUGGUCCACUUUCCGUUUUCCAAGGCCACUUAUAUCACUAUGCCAUUGUUGUAGUGGCCCCCUCCCCUGGAAUAGUCGGCCUUCUCGCUGCCUGUUGAAAGCAUUUCUAUCCUCUAAGGCUGAGUUUCAUUCCGGGACCUCCAUGACCACUCCCACUCAUGUCUUUCUCUCCAUAGCGUGCAUUGUUUCUACUCUUUACUCAAUGAGUCAUUGCAUUACUUAUGAUAGAUUCUUUGUAGUCUUAUAAACUGAUUAGAACUGACAUUUUGCACAUUGGAAUUCUAGAUUCUAGUCUCCUCUAGAGUGGAAUCCCCAUGAGGUCAGGGUUCAUGCAUUAUCUUCCUUGUAACUCCUACGGUGUUAAGUGCUGUGUCUACAAGAGGAGCCAGGAAGUGCUUGUUGAUUGAAUGAAUAAAAAUCACUCUUGAAAAAUCA